ensembl:lncRNA
AGUGUCCGGAGGGUGAACGCUGGUUCUGGAGUGAGUCCGGAUCGGGGCGAGUGUGUAAGAGGGGAAGUUUGGACCUUACAGCCCUGAACCGCUCAAAUGCAUGGGCCCCAGGGCCACAGAGGGCUGCGUGUGUGAGGAGGGCCAGUGUGUGAUUCCAGCACUGUGUCAGUGUGAAGAGGAAGACGGGACGCUUCGAGAGGGCGAAGGGAAGGUGCUGGAAGCGGAGAGCUGCUGUCCCGUGUGCCACAGAGAGUAUCCAGAGGAUCCGGUUGCUGAGUGCCUCCUUACUCUGAGGUCAGAAACAUCACCAAGGGCGACUGUCGCCUGGACAACGUGGGGGUCAGCUUCUGCAGAGGGCGCUGUUUGUCCCGGACCGAUGUCAGUCUGGAGGUGCGUCCUGAUCUCUGAUCUGUGAAGUGCUGCUUGAACUUUCACAAGUUAUUAAAGUGCAGCCAUCUCAGACAUCAGUCUGAAUUUUUAUCUUCUUACAAUUUAUUCACUUUAUAGAUUCUGGAUACAUUAUGUAUUUUUUAAAUUUUGCCUAAUUCUGGUAGUGUAUAAUGUACAGUGUUAUAUCAAUUACUAUACACCGCAAGAUUAAUACUGUUCACCAUAAAACAUAAUAUAGAUCAUCAGUGGUAUACUAAAUGAUAUAAGGAAAUAUUGUAUUGGAUUUUUAUUAUUCAU